ACGGAGGAUCCAAGCGUUAUUCGGAUUUAUUGGGUUUAAAGGGUGCGUAGGCGGUCCCAUAAGUCAGUGCUGAAAUAUCCCGGCUUAACCGGGAGGGUGGCAUUGAUACUGUGGGACUUGAGUAAAGUUGAGGUUGGCGGAAUUGACGGUGUAGCGGUGAAAUGCUUAGAUAUCGUCAAGAACACCUAUUGCGAAGGCAGCUAACUAAGCUUUAACUGACGCUGAGGCACGAAAGUGUGGGGAUCAAACAGGA
rnacentral:rRNA from 1 species